rfam:Butyrivibrio proteoclasticus B316 chromosome 1, complete sequence.
AAUAUAAGCGGGUAUUUUAUCGAUAUAGGUCAAAUAAUAUGGAUUUGAUGUUUCUACCCGGUUACCGUAAAUUACCGGACUAUCGAGUGUUUGAUGCAUAUA